rnacentral:rRNA from 1 species
AACGAACGCUGGCGGCGUGUCUUAAGCAUGCAAGUCGAGCGGCAAGCAGUAGCAAUACUGCCUAGAGCGGCGGACUGGUGAGUAACGCGUGGGUGAUCUGCCCUUGGGAUGGGGAUAGCCGUUAGAAAUAGCGGGUAAUACCGAAUACGUUCGUCGGACUACGGUCCGAUGAAGAAAGGCGCUUUGGCGCCACCCGAGGAUGAGCCUGCGUCUCAUUAGCUAGUUGGUAGGGGUAAAAGCCUACCAAGGCGAUGAUGAGUAGCCGGCCUGAGAGGGUGUACGGCCACACUGGGACUGAGAUACGGCCCAGACUCCUACGGGAGGCAGCAGCUAAGAAUAUUCCGCAAUGGACGAAAGUCUGACGGAGCGACGCCGCGUGGAUGAUGAAGGCCGUGAGGUUGUAAAAUCCUUUUGCUGGGGAAGAAUAACCAUGGGAGGGAAUGCCCGUGGGAUGACAUGAACCGGCGAAUAAGCCCCGGCUAACUACGUG